rnacentral:rRNA from 1 species
UGAGGAAUAUUAGACAAUGGGGGCAACCCUGAUCCAGCCAUGCCGCGUGAGUGAUGAAGGCCUUCGGGUUGUAAAGCUCUUUUGGCGGGGACGAUGAUGACGGUACCCGCAGAAUAAGCCCCGGCUAACUUCGUGCCAGCAGCCGCGGUAAGACGAAGGGGGCAAGCGUUGUUCGGAAUUACUGGGCGUAAAGGGCGCGUAGGCGGUUUGCUUAGUCAGGCGUGAAAGCCCUGGGCUUAACCUGGGAUGUGCGCUUGAUACUGGCAGGCUUGAGUGUGGGAGAGGUUGGUGGAAUUCCAAGUGUAGAGGUGAAAUUCGUAGAUAUUGGGAAGAACACCGGUGGCGAAGGCAGUCCCCUGGGCCUGUACUGACGCUCAUGCACGAAAGCGUGGGGAGCAAACA